GGCUAGAUUUAUAAUUCCACAUUUUCAAACAAAAAAACUUCGUCCUUUAGACCAAUUUCUUGGGUUUUGAUCUCCAAAGCCCUCUUUUUUACUUUCAUUUCUAGGGUUUUGAUUUUCUCUCAGUAACCAACCAUGCAUAUCAAAGAAAUUUGCUUAGAAGGGUUCAAAUCCUAUGCAACAAGAACAGUCGUCUCGGGUUUCGACCCGUUUUUCAAUGCCAUAACCGGUUUGAACGGGUCUGGUAAAUCCAACAUUUUGGACUCAAUUUGCUUUGUUUUAGGGAUUACCAAUUUGCAACAGGUUAGGGCUUCUAAUCUACAAGAGUUAGUGUAUAAGCAAGGCCAAGCUGGAAUUACUAAAGCUACGGUGUCCGUUGUGUUUGAUAAUUCGGAUCGUAGUCGAAGUCCUUUGGGAUAUGAAGAUUGUUCUGAGAUUACUGUUACCCGUCAGAUUGUGGUUGGUGGAAGGAACAAAUAUUUGAUCAACGGGCACCUUGCACAGCCAAGUCGGGUUCAGAAUCUUUUUCACUCUGUGCAGCUAAAUGUAAACAAUCCGCAUUUUCUUAUUAUGCAAGGGCGCAUUACAAAAGUCUUGAACAUGAAACCUCCUGAAAUCUUGUCUAUGCUUGAAGAAGCUGCUGGUACAAGAAUGUACGAGACAAAGAAAGAAGCUGCAUUGAAAACUCUUGAAAAGAAACAAAGUAAAGUUGAUGAGAUUGACAAGCUCUUAGAUCAGGAAAUUCUUCCUGCUUUGGAGAAGCUGAGGAAAGAGAGGAUGCAGUAUAUGCAAUGGGCGAAUGGAAAUGCAGAAUUGGACAGACUUAAACGGUUUUGCGUUGCCUAUGAGUAUGUUCAAGCUGAAAAAAUUAUGGCUGAUGCAGUACAAGGUUUAGAAGGUAUGAAGUCUAAGAUAACUGAAAUUGAUAGUAACGUGGGUAAGAUGCACGAAGAGAUACAGGAAAUGGAAAAGAGAGCAUCAGAAUUGCAAGCUGAGAAAGACGCGAAUAUGGGUGGGGAGAUAAAGCUUUUGACUGAGAAGGUUGACGCUCUAUCAUGUGAUCUGGUGAAGGAAACAUCUGUCUUAAAAAAUCAAGAGGAUAUUUUAAAGACUGAGAAAAAGAAUUGUGUGAAGAUUGGAAAAAAUCUCGAAGAAUUGAAGCAAUCCGCAGAAGAAAAGGCUGCUGCUGUAAGAAAGGCUGAAGAAGGAGCAUCAGACGUCAAGAAAAGAGCUGAGGAGCUUUCUAUGAGUCUUGAAGCGCAUGAAAAGGAGUACCAGGGUGUGUUGGCUGGUAAAAGUAGUGGGAAUGAGGAGAAAUGCCUCGAAGAACAACUAGCCGACGCCAAAGUAGAAGUUGGAAAUGCUGAAACGGAACUGAAACAGUUGCAAACAAAAAUAAACCAUUGUGAAAAAGAGCUAAAAGGGAAGAAAACUCAGCUAUUAUCAAAGCGUGAAGAAGCUGCUGCAGUGGAAAAUGAGCUUAGCAAUGGGAAGAAACAAGUGGAAAAACUUCAGAAAGCUUUGGAAGCUCUUUCAUACAAAGAGGAGCAGAUGGAUUUAUUACAAAAUGAUCGUGCCAUUGAAGUAGAGGCUAUACAAAAGUUAAGAGAUGAAAUACGUGUUCUUUCCUCUCGUCUGGCCAAUAUUGACUUCACAUAUAGUGACCCAGUGAAGAAUUUUAAUAGAUCAAAGGUGAAAGGUGUAGUUGCGAAACUCAUUAAAGUGAAGGAUAGUUCUGCAAUGACUGCGCUAGAGGUAGCUGCUGGAGGGAAGUUGUUUAAUAUUGUGGUAGACACAGAAGAUACAGGAAAACAACUUCUACAAAAGGGCGGUCUUAGGAAGAGAGUGACUAUUAUACCCUUAAACAAAAUUCAAACUCAUCCUGUUCCACCAAAACAUCAAAACGCUGCUGCUAGACUGGUCGGAAAGGGCAAUGCUGAAGUGGCAAUUUCUCUAGUUGGAUAUGAUGAAGAACUCAAAAGUGCAAUGGAGUACGUAUUUGGUUCAACGUUUGUUUGCAAAACUAUUGAUGCGGCACGAGAGGUUGCUUUUAGUCGGGAAGUUGGAAUACCCAGCGUGACACUUGAAGGUGAUAUUUUUCAGCCUAGUGGACUUUUAACUGGUGGUAGUCGAAGGGGCGGUGGUGAUUUAUUGAGACAACUUCAUGCUUUGGCAGAGGCAGAAUCAAAACUUUCAUUUCAUCAAAAGCGUCUUUCCGAAAUCGAUGCCAAGAUUAAUCAGCUCAUUCCCCUUCAAAGAAAAUUCAAAGACCUGAAGGCUCAGUUGGAACUUGCAUCAUAUGAUCUGUCAUUGUCCCAGAGCAGGGCUGAACAAAAUGAGCAUCACAAGCUUGGUGAACUUGUAAAAAAGAUAGAGCAGGAGCUUGGAGAAGCAAAAUCUGGCGUCGAAGAGAAAAAACUUGUCUACGAAAGCUGUCUGGCCAAAGUAUCAUGUCUUGAAAAGUCAAUUCAUGAUCAUGCUGGUAAUAGGGAGACCAGACUGAAAGAUCUAGAAAAAAAGGUUAAGACUAUAAAAAGUCAGAUGCAGUCUGCACUGAAGGACCUAAAGGGGCAUGACAAUGAAAGGGAGAGACUUAUAAUGGAGAUGGAAGCUGUCAAACAGGAACAUGCAUCCCUUGAGAGUCAGUUAGUUUCUCUGAACAAACAGAUUGAGGAUCUUGCAUCUGAAGUGGAUUCCCAAAAGGCAAAGGUUGCUUCUUUGAAAGAUAAUCAAGGCCUGGUCCAAUCAGAACUUAACUCAGCUCGUCUGAAGAUGAAGGAAUGUGAUUCUCAAAUCUCAAGUAUUCUCAAGGAGCAGCAGCGACUUCAGAAUAAAAUUAGCGAGACCAAUCUUGAGAAGAAGAGAAUGGAAAAUGAGGUGAAGCGCAUGGAGAUGGACCAAAAAGAUUGCUCCUUGAAAGUUGAGAAAUUAAUAGAAAAACAUGCCUGGAUUGCGUCUGAGAAGCAACUGUUUGGAAGAAGUGGUACUGAUUAUGAUUUUGGAUCUCGUGAUCCUCGUAAUGCAAGGGAAACUUUUGAAAAGCUUCAAGCUGAUCAGUCAGGGCUUGAGAAAAGGGUCAAUAAGAAGGUUAUGUCGAUGUUUGAAAAAGCUGAAGACGAGUACAAUGACUUGAUGUCAAAGAAGAACAUUAUUGAGAAUGACAAAUCAAAAAUUAAAAAGGUGAUUGAAGAGCUUGAUGAGAAGAAGAAGGAAACACUUAAAGUUACUUGGGAAAAAGUUAACAGAGAUUUUGGAUCCAUAUUUUCUACUUUGUUACCUGGUACCAUGGCAAAGUUAGAACCUCCUGAAGGAGGUAGCUUCUUAGAUGGCUUGGAGGUUCGUGUUGCAUUUGGAGCAGUUUGGAAACAAUCAUUAUCUGAGCUUAGUGGUGGGCAGAGAUCUCUACUUGCACUCUCUCUCAUUCUGGCUUUGCUUCUUUUCAAGCCAGCCCCACUUUAUAUCCUGGACGAGGUUGAUGCAGCUCUUGACUUAAGUCACACACAGAACAUCGGAAGAAUGAUCAAGAGUCAUUUUCCACAUUCUCAGUUUAUUGUUGUAUCUUUGAAAGAGGGUAUGUUUAACAAUGCCAAUGUUCUCUUCCGAACAAAAUUUGUGGAUGGCGUCUCAACAGUGCAGAGAACAGUUGCAGCUAAAAACAAGUGAUUUCACGAAAUGGUGAGACUGUAAUUUUGCUUGCAGUAAAUUCAGUUUCAUAUGCUCGGGGGCAUGUGUAUAAGUUCUGGUUUCCCUCCAAUGUGUAGUAAAUCUCACCCCAAUACAUUCUAAUUAUCUUGUCUAACACCUUCCUUUUCCUGCAUAAGUAGCAUCUGCGACUACUUUUUGGCUUAUUUCUGUAUUAUUUAAUUUUGCCGGGGGCAUUUUAUUUGUGUAAGAACUAUUAGCUUGGUGCAGUAAGCCCAUAACUCCUCGUUGUGACUUGAGCAUGACAUGCUAGUGCUAUCAAAAUGCACACAUGCUCUA